AACGAGCUGACUUAAUCUGAUCCUCCUCCCAUAAGCACGAUGAUUGGGGAGGCUGAUCCAAGAGAUUUCCUUCAUAUAUUCAGAAAGAAGUCAAAGAAAAAAAAGAUAGUCUCUAUCUCAAAAAAAAAAAGAGAGAAACAAUAACACAAAAGGAGAUUGAGUAAUUUUUUUUAUUAUCUUUCAAACAGUCAGAUACAGAACCUAUUUAUAGACUCUAUCC
rnacentral:lncRNA from 1 species